GACGAACGCUGGCGGCGUGCUUAACACAUGCAAGUCGAACGGAAAGGCCCUGCUUGCAGGGUGCUCGAGUGGCGAACGGGUGAGUAACACGUGGGUGAUCUGCCCCUUACUUUGGGAUAAGCCUGGGAAACUGGGUCUAAUACUGGAUAGGACCAUGCUGUAGGUGGUGUGGUGGAAAGAUUAGUUUCGGUAAGGGAUGAGCUCGAGGCCUAUCAGCUUGUUGGUGGGGUAAUGGCCUACCAAGGCGUCGACGGGUAGCCGGCCUGAGAGGGUGGACGGCCACAUUGGGACUGAGAUACGGCCCAGACUCCUACGGGAGGCAGCAGUGGGGAAUAUUGCACAAUGGGCGCAAGCCUGAUGCAGCGACGCCGCGUGGGGGAUGACGGCCUUCGGGUUGUAAACUCCUUUCAGCCAUGACGAAGCCCUUGUGGUGACGGUAGUGGUAGAAGAAGCACCGGCUAACUACGUG
rnacentral:rRNA from 1 species